AACCACCUUCUUUCUUCGGUUGAUAUAUAGACCCACCCCUUUUGUUCUACCAACCAACGUUCAUUUCCUCUACUGAUUUCAAUCUCUACACAAAACCCUUCACUGUUGUCAUGAGUUUUCAUCUGCUUCUCAUCUCUUUCAUUUCUUGCAUGGAUCCACUUCCCAUUUAUUCAUACUCACCUCAAUUUCCCAUUUUAGUUCCUUAUUUUUAUUUUAUUUUUGCAAUUUCUUUUAUUGGGUGUUCUUCCUCUUGAGCUUAAAUUCAUUCAUGUUUUUUUUUUUGGGUGGUUGCACUUUUUUAUUUGGUGGGGGAGGGGGUUCUUGGGCACUCUGUACUUUGAAAUUUAAAUUGGUUUUUCUGAUUUUUUUUUUUUGGGGUACUUGAGAAAUUCCAUAUUAAUUUUGGAUCUGCAUUUUGUUUGAACAUUUGUUUUUUAUAUAUGGUUUUUCCUACUUUUAUGUCUCUAAUGAUUUUUGGAUUUUGCAGGUUUGUCUUUUCUACAAGCUAAAGUGUAUUUAAAUGGCACAAGAACCCAUAAAUCCAGAAGAGGUUGUUUUGGCAGAAGAAGUAAACCAUGCAAGGUUGAUCACCUUAAACCGGCCUCGCCAAUUGAAUGUCAUUUCAUCCAAAGUGGUUGUUUUGCUAGCUGAAUUCCUUGAAAAAUGGGAGAAGGAUGAUGAUGCAGAGCUUGUGAUAAUUAAGG